UAGGGAAUCUUGCGCAAUGGGCGAAAGCCUGACGCAGCCAUGCCGCGUGAAUGAUGAAGGUCUUAGGAUUGUAAAAUUCUUUCACCGGGGACGAUAAUGACGGUACCCGGAGAAGAAGCCCCGGCUAACUUCGUGCCAGCAGCCGCGGUAAUACGAAGGGGGCUAGCGUUGCUCGGAAUUACUGGGCGUAAAGGGAGCGUAGGCGGAUAGUUUAGCCAGAGGUGAAAGCCCAGGGCUCAACCUUGGAAUUGCCUUUGAUACUGGCUAUCUUGAGUAUGGGGGAGGUAUGUGGAACUCCGAGUGUAGAGGUGAAAUUCGUAGAUAUUCGGAAGAACACCAGUGGCGAAGGCGACAUACUGGCCCAUUACUGACGCUGAGGCUCGAAAGCGUGGGGAGCAAAACAGGAUUAGAUACCCUGGUAGUCCACGCCGUAAACGAUGAGUGCUAGUUGUCGGCAUGCAUGCAUGUCGGUGACGCAGCUAACGCAUUAAGCACUCCGCCUGGGGAGUACGGUCGC
rnacentral:rRNA from 1 species